rnacentral:rRNA from 1 species
CGUAUCACCCAAGACAACUUUACGGAGUUGACGAUUGACGGAGCGAAGCGACGUCAAAGCGUUCAUUAAAGUCGAGUUGGCUUAGGGAUACGUUCGUUGGGUAGGGGAGCGUUCUGUAAGCCUGUGAAGGUGUGUCGUGAGGCAUGCUGGAGGUAUCAGAAGUGCGAAUGCUGACAUAAGUAACGAUAAAGCGGGUGAAAAGCCCGCUCGCCGGAAGACCAAGGGUUCCUGUCCAACGUUAAUCGGGGCAGGGUGAGUCGACCCCUAAGGCGAGGCCGAAAGGCGUAGUCGAUGGGAAACGGGUUAAUAUUCCCGUACUUGGUGUUACUGCGAAGGGGGGACGGAGAAGGCUAUGUUGGCCGGGCGACGGUUGUCCCGGUUUAAGCGUGUAGGUGUGUGUUCCAGGUAAAUCCGGUUCACUUUAACACUG